rnacentral:rRNA from 1 species
UAGGGAAUCUUCCACAAUGGGCGCAAGCCUGAUGGAGCAACACCGCGUGAGUGAAGAAGGGUUUCGGCUCGUAAAGCUCUGUUGUUAAAGAAGAACACGUAUGAGAGUAACUGUUUACCCAGUGACGGUAUUUAACCAGAAAGCCACGGCUAACUACGUGCUAG